UAUCAGAAAGACUUUACGUGUCCAACGUUUGACUGUUCGUCUUAUAUAAAUUAUUUUCAUAAUUAGUAUUUUCAUUGUUGUUAGAUGAUAAAAUAUAAAUAAUACUUUAUGUGUGACUUAUCUUUUAAACUUUUUUAAAUAAGAUGGACGGUCAAACGUUGGAUACGGAAAUUCAGG
rnacentral:pre_miRNA from 1 species